GGUUAAGCGACUAAGCGUACACGGUGGAUGCCCUGGCAGUCAGAGGCGAUGAAGGACGUGCUAAUCUGCGAUAAGCGUCGGUAAGGUGAUAUGAACCGUUAUAACCGGCGAUUUCCGAAUGGGGAAACCCAGUGUGUUUCGACACACUAUCAUUAACUGAAUCCAUAGGUUAAUGAGGCGAACCGGGGGAACUGAAACAUCUAAGUACCCCGAGGAAAAGAAAUCAACCGAGAUUCCCCCAGUAGCGGCGAGCGAACGGGGAGCAGCCCAGAGCCUGAAUCAGUGUGUGUGUUAGUGGAAGCGUCUGGAAAGGCGCGCGAUACAGGGUGACAGCCCCGUACACAAAAAUGCACAUGCUGUGAGCUCGAUGAGUAGGGCGGGACACGUGGUAUCCUGUCUGAAUAUGGGGGGACCAUCCUCCAAGGCUAAAUACUCCUGACUGACCGAUAGUGAACCAGUACCGUGAGGGAAAGGCGAAAAGAACCCCGGCGAGGGGAGUGAAAAAGAACCUGAAACCGUGUACGUACAAGCAGUGGGAGCACGCUUAGGCGUGUGACUGCGUACCUUUUGUAUAAUGGGUCAGCGACUUAUAUUCUGUAGCAAGGUUAACCGAAUAGGGGAGCCGAAGGGAAACCGAGUCUUAACUGGGCGUUAAGUUGCAGGGUAUAGACCCGAAACCCGGUGAUCUAGCCAUGGGCAGGUUGAAGGUUGGGUAACACUAACUGGAGGACCGAACCGACUAAUGUUGAAAAAUUAGCGGAUGACUUGUGGCUGGGGGUGAAAGGCCAAUCAAACCGGGAGAUAGCUGGUUCUCCCCGAAAGCUAUUUAGGUAGCGCCUCGUGAAUUCAUCUCCGGGGGUAGAGCACUGUUUCGGCAAGGGGGUCAUCCCGACUUACCAACCCGAUGCAAACUGCGAAUACCGGAGAAUGUUAUCACGGGAGACACACGGCGGGUGCUAACGUCCGUCGUGAAGAGGGAAACAACCCAGACCGCCAGCUAAGGUCCCAAAGUCAUGGUUAAGUGGGAAACGAUGUGGGAAGGCCCAGACAGCCAGGAUGUUGGCUUAGAAGCAGCCAUCAUUUAAAGAAAGCGUAAUAGCUCACUGGUCGAGUCGGCCUGCGCGGAAGAUGUAACGGGGCUAAACCAUGCACCGAAGCUGCGGCAGCGACGCUUAUGCGUUGUUGGGUAGGGGAGCGUUCUGUAAGCCUGUGAAGGUGUGCUGUGAGGCAUGCUGGAGGUAUCAGAAGUGCGAAUGCUGACAUAAGUAACGAUAAAGCGGGUGAAAAGCCCGCUCGCCGGAAGACCAAGGGUUCCUGUCCAACGUUAAUCGGGGCAGGGUGAGUCGACCCCUAAGGCGAGGCCGAAAGGCGUAGUCGAUGGGAAACAGGUUAAUAUUCCUGUACUUGGUGUUACUGCGAAGGGGGGACGGAGAAGGCUAUGUUGGCCGGGCGACGGUUGUCCCGGUUUAAGCGUGUAGGCUGGUUUUCCAGGCAAAUCCGGAAAAUCAAGGCUGAGGCGUGAUGACGAGGCACUACGGUGCUGAAGCAACAAAUGCCCUGCUUCCAGGAAAAGCCUCUAAGCAUCAGGUAACAUCAAAUCGUACCCCAAACCGACACAGGUGGUCAGGUAGAGAAUACCAAGGCGCUUGAGAGAACUCGGGUGAAGGAACUAGGCAAAAUGGUGCCGUAACUUCGGGAGAAGGCACGCUGAUAUGUAGGUGAAGUCCCUCGCGGAUGGAGCUGAAAUCAGUCGAAGAUACCAGCUGGCUGCAACUGUUUAUUAAAAACACAGCACUGUGCAAACACGAAAGUGGACGUAUACGGUGUGACGCCUGCCCGGUGCCGGAAGGUUAAUUGAUGGGGUUAGCGGUAACGCGAAGCUCUUGAUCGAAGCCCCGGUAAACGGCGGCCGUAACUAUAACGGUCCUAAGGUAGCGAAAUUCCUUGUCGGGUAAGUUCCGACCUGCACGAAUGGCGUAAUGAUGGCCAGGCUGUCUCCACCCGAGACUCAGUGAAAUUGAACUCGCUGUGAAGAUGCAGUGUACCCGCGGCAAGACGGAAAGACCCCGUGAACCUUUACUAUAGCUUGACACUGAACAUUGAGCCUUGAUGUGUAGGAUAGGUGGGAGGCUUAGAAGUGUGGACGCCAGUCUGCAUGGAGCCGACCUUGAAAUACCACCCUUUAAUGUUUGAUGUUCUAACGUUGACCCGUAAUCCGGGUUGCGGACAGUGUCUGGUGGGUAGUUUGACUGGGGCGGUCUCCUCCUAAAGAGUAACGGAGGAGCACGAAGGUUGGCUAAUCCUGGUCGGACAUCAGGAGGUUAGUGCAAUGGCAUAAGCCAGCUUGACUGCGAGCGUGACGGCGCGAGCAGGUGCGAAAGCAGGUCAUAGUGAUCCGGUGGUUCUGAAUGGAAGGGCCAUCGCUCAACGGAUAAAAGGUACUCCGGGGAUAACAGGCUGAUACCGCCCAAGAGUUCAUAUCGACGGCGGUGUUUGGCACCUCGAUGUCGGCUCAUCACAUCCUGGGGCUGAAGUAGGUCCCAAGGGUAUGGCUGUUCGCCAUUUAAAGUGGUACGCGAGCUGGGUUUAGAACGUCGUGAGACAGUUCGGUCCCUAUCUGCCGUGGGCGCUGGAGAACUGAGGGGGGCUGCUCCUAGUACGAGAGGACCGGAGUGGACGCAUCACUGGUGUUCGGGUUGUCAUGCCAAUGGCACUGCCCGGUAGCUAAAUGCGGAAGAGAUAAGUGCUGAAAGCAUCUAAGCACGAAACUUGCCCCGAGAUGAGUUCUCCCUGACUCCUUGAGAGUCCUGAAGGAACGUUGAAGACGACGACGUUGAUAGGCCGGGUGUGUAAGCGCAGCGAUGCGUUGAGCUAACCGGUACUAAUGAACCGUGAGG
rnacentral:rRNA from 1 species